UUUUGUUUUGUUUUUCUUGAAUUCACAGCAUCAUUCGAUUAUAAUACGGCCAUAAAGCAACUGGAAACUCUAAUGGGCAAGAUUAAGUUACAAUUGGCCGGCAAUGUCAUACUUGACUAUAGAUAUGUAGUAAAUGCACAAAAUGUCAUAGAAUUUGCGAACGCAGCAAACGGAUUGUUAAGUGAAGCGCAACUUGAAGAAUUGAAACAAUUACCGGAAGAAAAUUGCGUUCUGCUAGAAAGUAUGUAUGUACUUAUGAAUGAAUUCAUCCAAGAAUAAGAUAACGGACAAAAAAAAUCUCUAUAUAAGAGACUGAAAAACAUACCAAAACGCAUAGUUCAGAAAAAUGUGGCUUUUGUUGUGGCACUUUCAAAAAAAAAAAAAUUGAAUUUUGAUCAAAGGAAACCUUAAGAGUCGUCGAAGGUGUUGAGUUUACAUUCUGUAAAUCACUUAUUGUUGGUUGAAUUUUUUUUGUCGCGAUUCAAGUGCAUCUAGUUCUAAUGCAAUAGCCUUCAAAGUGUG